AACUCUCGAACAAAGUUUGGUUAUACCUACGGGGGCUAGACCUGUGGUGUCAUCAUCCAUACGGUUCUACCGUCUGGUAGUUGUAGCAAUAUUAUUAUCGUUAGUAGCUCACGCCUGACAUAAUAUUUUGAUAAAUCUAAUACAUUUUUAGAUUUAAAUAUGACUUUAAUAACUGAAUAAAUACUUUUCUUCUACAAAAAUAUAGAGAGACACUCUCGUUGAAUAUUGUUUUAGUAACGUAUGGGUAAGAUUUUCUAAACGAAGUGUGGCAACCCCAAUUACUUAAUAAAAAAUAAAUAUGUUAUAAAAUGAAAAUGGCGUCAUUUCACCAAAUAAAACACGAAUUCACGAAUAAUAAAAUAAAUGUUUGCCACGGCCUGUUAAUAUUUAUGAAGACCUCUUCAUGGAUUGGAUUUAAGCAACCUGCUGUGUAAUAUCCUCGCCAUUCUUGAUGUUGAGAAGAUCUAUAAGUCUUUUACGUUUCAUCUGAGUGUUGUGGUUUUUCAUUAUGUUAAAAAUAAGACUUUGUUAGUUGAAGUGUCUCUAUAACUAUGAAGAAGAACAAAAGAAAAUGCUUUGAGUGUGGUUCUUCGCCUGCCGAUGAUCCAGAGAAGACCCUACAGAGAUUACAGAAAUUUGAUUCUACAAAUUUAGUCUCCGUAAUGUCCAGAUAAUCAAUGAUUAGACUAUUGGACUUUUAGAAUAAAUUUGACAUUGAACUAUGAAUGGUUUGUCAUCUACAUUUUUAAAAAAGACGAGAUGUUUUGCCUGUAAGAACAAGAGAGAGAGAGAAUAAGAAGCAAUCCUGCUUCUUCACAUGAAUUUUACCCGCAUGACGACGGUUUUUAAUAUAAAAAAUAUUUACACAAUGUCUCAAAAAGCAAUCAAAGCUUUCAAAAAUAAACAAUGUUCGCAGAAGUUCAGUACCAACAAACUCACAAAAAAUGAGCCCAAAAUUUAGCAUUACUUGCAAGCCAGACUAAGAAAUUUCAAGAAGAUAAUUUAAAAGAAGACAAUAGAAUAAAAUAAUAUUAACACACAAUGCUUAGCAAAUAUAGCAUUAACAGAUGGAAACCAGGCAAUAGGUGUAGCAAAAUAGAAGAUGAAGGUCUAGCUGUGCCAGUCGGUGCUGAGCCACACAGUUGCUGCUGGCAUGUUUGCAAAAUAGCACAAGGUGUAGCAAAAUAGAAGAUGAAGGUCUAGCUGUGCCAGUCGGUGCUGAGCCACACAGUUGCUGCUGGCAUGUUUGCAAAAUAGCACAAGGUGCUGUAAAAUGAAGAUAUAUUGUUAAAUAUCAUGAGAUAGAAAUAAAAGAUGAAGAUCUAGCUGUACCCGUCCCGAGCCACACUACUGCAGCCACGUUGCUGCUGGCAUUUUUGCAAAAUAGCACAAGGUCACAACAAUUGAUGUAACAAAUAUAAUCAAUGGACCAGGCACCUGCACCAUGAUUCUUUGGAAUACUAAAAUUCUUUAUGUCUGUACUUCUCAUAAUGAAAAAUGUCACGUUUUUAUGAAAGAAAUAAUGGAAUCAAAUAAUAAAUAAAACAAGCAUAUGCUGGAAGUCCUCAGAAACAGCUCCGACUUUGAUGAUUUUUUUUAAAGUAAUGUUUUUUAUGUUAUUUAAAAUCAGAAAUGUUUUGGUGGACGAAAUUAUUUAAAUUGUUAAAAAAUAUCUAUGCUAUUUAUACAUAUUUUUUUUUUAAAUACAACCGACUUCAAAAAUACAAACUUAUGCAGAAAACUAACAAACGAAAGAAAAUAUUAUAAUAUUUUCUAUCUAUUGAUCACUUUGAAGGCGGUGCCAAUGUUCCAAUUAAUGGGCCGACAAUUAGUUAUCUAUUGUUUACUAGCUAUAGGGCUCGAAUUGCUUUUUCAUAUCUUUAAAAGACUAUCUUCGGAAUGAACCCUUUAUAAUAAAAAAGUAUUAUCAAAAUCGGACCACUCAAUAAAAAGUUAUACUUGGUUGUAUACUAAAAUUAAUGGUUAAACAAUCAAUCAUCCCCUGUUUUCGUAAUGUAAAACCAAGAAUAACUGUUAACAUGAGUAGUCCGAUUUUGAUAAUUCUUUUGAUUGAUCAUUCUUGAUUGUUUUAGUUUAAAACCAAGCAUGUCUUCGAAUUCCGAUUUGAAUAACUUUGUUUUAAAUAGAAAGGGUAUAUUCCGACAAUGGUCCCAAAUCAUUAUAAAUUUUAAAAAAACGAAGAUGACUGGUUAUUUUCCCAUUAAUUGUAUUGUAAAACUAUGCGUAACUUAUUACGAAGUGGUCCGAUUUCGUAAAUUCUUUAUAGAUUGUAAAGGUAUUUUGAUUGUAAAGCUCCCAUAUAAAUUUUAAAAAACAAUUCCAAUCCUUAAUGUGCGAUUGAUUGUUUUCUCAUUCAUUUUAAUGUAAAACCAAGCAUAACUUUUUAUUGGGUGGUUCUAUUUUGAUUAUUCUUUUUUUGAUAGAAAGGGUAUAUUCCUAAAAGUCUCAUAAAAUGUUGGAAAACAAUAUCAAACCUAAUAGUAGGAAAAUAGAAGAUGAUUAAUUGUUUUUCCAUUUAUUGUAAUGCGUAACUUUUUGGACCGAUUUUGAAAAUUCUUUACUUUUUGUAAAGGGUUUAUUUCGAAGUAGGUCCCAUAUAAAUUUCGGAAAACAAUUCGAAUCCUUAAGGUGGAAAAAAAACUGUACGAUUGAUUGCCUACCCAUUAAUUGUACAAUUGGCACCGGCUUCAAAGUAAUCAGUAGAUAUGAAAUAUUAUAAUGUUUUCUUCAGCUUAUUAGUUUACUGCAUAACUUUGUGUUUUUGAAGUCGGUAGUGUUUGUUUUUUAAUUAUUUAUUAUAUAAAUAGCAUAACUAUUGUUAAAUAGUAUAAAUCGUUCCAUCCUCACUCCAAAAGGUUUCUGAUUUCAAAUAAUAUGAAGAAACAAACUGAACAAAAAAAAUCAUCAAAAUCAGAGCUGUUUCUGAGGAAGUAGAGGGUAAAUGCUCUAUUGAUUCGCCUAAAAGUAAUAUUAUGAUUUUUUAUCGCAUUAGGUUGUAAAGUUCCGCUAGUGAAAGUAGAGACUGAAAUUGCCCGCCAAAUUUAAAAAUCAUAUAAACAAAGUAAAAAAACAUGCGUUUUCAUAAUUUACUUAAAUUAGUUUUUAUUUGUGAAUAUAUUAUUACCUAUACUAUAAGUGUUAAACUCAGUUAUUCCAAUAUUUGCACUAUAAUUUUGAGAAUUUACUCCGAUUUUUUAAAAUUUGGCGGGUGAUUUCAGUUUCUACUUUUAUUAGCCAAAUUCUAAUAAUUUUAUUGUUUAUGAAAUUUAUACUAAUUAGAAAGAGGAAGAAUUUGAUUAUUUGUUUGUUUGCAUUGAAUAGGCUCUAAAAACUACUUUGCUGAUUUAAAAAUUUCUUACAGCAUUAUAAUCAUGGAUUAGGCCAUAAUUGUUAUCUCUGUAUUCCCACGGGAACGAGAACUACGCUGGUGAAACUGCGUGACGUUUGCAUAGUUUAUCAUAUGUACAAAUAUCCCGACAAUCUAUAUUUUUAUGUAUGAAUUGGUUAAGUUAUAAUUGACUUGAUUUUCCCAAAUAUAUCAGUGAAGUCACCCAAUUGAUGCAUAGAUAUAUUUUUAUUUUGGUUUUCAUUUUACUUACUUACUAAAAUUUAGUUUUAGAAGCAAAAUGAAUAUAUGUAGAUUACAUUUUAGGUGCUGAUGUUUACUUAGUUAUUGAUUAAGUGCAUAAGAUUUUUUAUUUGAUAAUAAAGACAUUUCAACUUGAAA